CGAGACAUUUCAACAGCCCAAACCCGACAGAGCUAACAGAACAAAGUGGCGAACAGAAAGAGAAGCGAAUCGGAGGGAAUUCAAUCGGGAGAAAAUGGAGGUGCCAGGAUCAUCGAAGAAGAUGAUAGCGACGCAAGCAGAGAUGGUGGAAGCGAAAGUACCAUUAUCAUACAGGGACCAGUGCGCCCAUCUGUUGAUCCCUCUUAACAAGUGCCGGCAGUCGGAGUUUUACUUGCCCUGGAAGUGCGAGGACGAACGUCACUCGUACGAGAAGUGCGAGUAUGAGCUUGUCAUGGAACGGAUGCUUCAAAUGCAGAAGAUCCGUCAGCAGCAAAAAGGACAGCAGUCAAUUCCCCUUUUCCCUAAGACUGCCAAUGCCUAGUCAAUCCAUCAUCUAUCUAAUCGGCACCAUUGUUGUCCCCAAGUACAUAUUGUAUAAUUUCAUUAGGCGACAUUGUCUCCAAGUACAUGGAAGCAGAAAAUACCAAGGCUUCCAGAACACCAGAGCAUUGUCACUGCAACUUGGUGGGCAUUUUCCAUUUAGAACUGACAUCUGUUGAGUGAAAAUUUUAUAGCGCACUCUUUGCACAUCUUACUGGUCCAAUAAUGUUCUUCCAAUUUGAUGCUGUUUCUAUGCUAAUCCAAGACCUGUUUCCCGUCUCCUUUAAACGUUGUCUUUCAGUUUCUCAUAAAACAUGUGAAAAAGAGAUUUAAAUGAAACUGAUAAUACAGCUAUGUUGUCUGUGAAA